AGAGUUUGAUCAUGGCUCAGGAUGAACGCUGGCGGCGUGCUUAACUCAUGCAAGUCGAGCGAAGCGCUUUACUUGGAUUUCUUCGGAAUGACGAGUAUUGUGACUGAGCGGCGGACGGGUGAGUAACGCGUGGGUAACCUGCCUCAUACAGGGGGAUAACAGUUAGAAAUGACUGCUAAUACCGCAUAAGACCACAGCACCGCAUGGUGCAGAGGUAAAAACUCCGGUGGUAUGAGAUGGACCCGCGUCUGAUUAGCUGGUUGGUGGGGUAACGGCCUACCAAGGCGACGAUCAGUAGCCGGCCUGAGAGGGCGACCGGCCACAUUGGGACUGAGACACGGCCCAAACUCCUACGGGAGGCAGCAGUGGGGAAUAUUGCACGAUGGGGGAAACCCUGAUGCAGCGACGCCGCGUGAAGGAAGAAGUAUUUCGGUAUGUAAACUUCUAUCAGCAGGGAAGAAAAUGACGGUACCUGACUAAGAAGCCCCGGCUAACUACGUGCCAGCAGCCGCGGUAAUACGUAGGGGGCAAGCGUUAUCCGGAUUUACUGGGUGUAAAGGGAGCGUAGACGGAGAGGCAAGUCUGAUGUGAAAACCCGGGGCUCAACCCCGGGACUGCAUUGGAAACUGUUUUUCUAGAGUGUCGGAGAGGUAAGCGGAAUUCCUAGUGUAGCGGUGAAAUGCGUAGAUAUUAGGAGGAACACCAGUGGCGAAGGCGGCUUACUGGACGAUGACUGACGUUGAGGCUCGAAAGCGUGGGGAGCAAACAGGAUUAGAUACCCUGGUAGUCCACGCCGUAAACGAUGACUACUAGGUGUCGGGUGGCAAAGCCAUUCGGUGCCGCAGC
rnacentral:rRNA from 1 species